CCUGGUUGAUUCUGCCAGUAUUCAUAUGCUUGUCUCAAAGAUUAAGCCAUGCAUGUCUAAGUAUAAGCAACUUUGUACUGUGAAACUGCGAAUGGCUCAUUAAAUCAGUUAUAGUUUAUUUGAUGGUUUUUGCUACAUGGAUAACUGUGGUAAUUCUAGAGCUAAUACAUGCAUUCAAGCCCCGACUUCUGGAAGGGGUGUAUUUAUUAGAUAAAAAUCAACUUUGUUGGUGAAUCAUAAUAACUUCUCGGACCGCAUGGCCUCGUGCUGGCGGUGCUUCAUUCAAAUAUCUGCCCUAUCAACUGUCGAUGGUAGGAUAGAGGCCUACCAUGGUUGCAACGGGUAACGGGGAAUAAGGGUUCGAUUCCGGAGAGGGAGCCUGAGAAACGGCUACCACAUCCAAGGAAGGCAGCAGGCGCGCAAAUUACCCAAUCCCAACACGGGGAGGUAGUGACAAUAUGUAACAAUAUACGGCCUUAUACGUCGUAUAAUUGGAAUGAGUACAAUUUAAAUCCCUUAACGAGGAACAAUUGGAGGGCAAGUCUGGUGCCAGCAGCCGCGGUAAUUCCAGCUCCAAUAGCGUAUAUUAAAGUUGUUGCAGUUAAAAAGCUCGUAGUUGGACCUUGGACCUGGACAGGCGGUCCGCCUCACGGCGAGUACUGUCUUGCUGGGUCUUUCCUCUUGGUGAUCUGUUGUUUCGGCAGCAGGGAACCAGGACCUUUACUUUGAAAAAAUUAGAGUGUUCAAAGCAGGCUCGACGCCGGAAUAUAUUAGCAUGGAAUAAUAAAAUAGGACGUGCGGUUCUAUUUUGUUGGUUUUUGGAAUCGCCGUAAUGAUUAAUAGGG
rnacentral:rRNA from 1 species